rnacentral:lncRNA from 10 species
ACUCCGACUGAUACGAAUAGGGAUGCUGAUACAUGCCUCCUGGGGCUGAAACCAGAUGACUCAUGGAAGCAAGGGUCUCCAAGAAGGCAUAAGGCACCUAUGUUACUCAGAGGGGUCAGCGUUCAUGGUUAAAGACGGGAGCGCAAGGAUGAAAAUGUUCUUUUAGGAUCUAAUGUUCUUUGGGAAAGAGGCUCAGGUGAAGAAAGGAGGAGGCCGAUGCCAGCACCGGGAAGUGAGAGGAAGGAGACCCAGAUAGCAGCAGGGCCAGCCGGAGCCCAUUCCGGAUGCCAGGCUGGGGAACUGGCAGGACUUCCCUUGCUCACACAUCCUGGGGUGUAGCUGCACACGUUUGUGAACACACGCACACACACGCACACCUCGCACUCAGGCCCACAGGUGCUGCAAAGCUUAAGAUCCAACCAUGCCUUACAAAGCUGGAAUGUAAGAGACUACUGAGAAUUGAGUUCUGCCCUCCCUACCAUGCAACACCCCCAGAUAACUGAAACGGCAAUUGGAAGGGGGAAUCAAUCUCACCAGGUCAUUAAGCAAGCAUAGCUCACUUUUACUCAAAACACUGUCCUUUAAAGUAUAAAAUAAGGGUCAAAGGUUUUUUUU